rnacentral:tRNA from 1 species
GGGCGAUUGGCGCAGGGGCUAGCGCGCUUCCCUGACACGGAAGAGGUCACUGGUUCGAUUCCAGUAUCGCCCACCA